rnacentral:rRNA from 1 species
GACGGGGCCCGCACAAGCGGCGAGCAUGCGGAUUAAUUCGAUGCAACGCGAAGAACCUUACCAAGGCUUGACAUACACCGGUAACGCCCAGAGAUGGGUGCCCCUUUGUGGUCGGUGGACAGGUGGUGCAUGGUUGUCGUCAGCUCGUGUCGUGAGAUGUUGGGGUUAAGUCCCCGCAACGAGCGCAACCCUCGUCCCAUGUUGCCAGCGGGUGAUGCCGGGGACUCAUGGGAGACUGCCGGGGUCAACUCGGAGAAGUGGGGAUGACGUCAAAUCAUCAUGCCCCUUAUGUCUUGGGCUUCACGCAUGCUACAAUGGCCGGUACAGAGGGUUGCGAUGCCGUGAGGCGGAGCGAAUCCCAAAAAGCCGGUCUCAGUUCGGAUUGGGGUCUGCAACUCGACCCCAUGAAGUCGGAGUCGCUAGUAAUCGCAGAUCAGCAACGCUGCGGUGAAUACGUUCCCGGGCCUU